rnacentral:rRNA from 1 species
UGGAAGUAAAAAGUCGUAACAAGGUCUCCGUUGGUGAACCAGCGGAGGGAUCAUUACCGAGUUUACAACUCCCAAACCCAAUGUGAACGUUACCAAACUGUUGCCUCGGCGGGAUCUCUGCCCCGGGUGCGUCGCAGCCCCGGACCAAGGCGCCCGCCGGAGGACCAACCAAAACUCUUUUGUAUACCCCCUCGCGGGUUUUUAUAUCUGAGCCAUCUCGGCGCCUCUCGUAGGCGUUUCGAAAAUGAAUCAAAACUUUCAACAACGGAUCUCUUGGUUCUGGCAUCGAUGAAGAACGCAGCGAAAUGCGAUAAGUAAUGUGAAUUGCAGAAUUCAGUGAAUCAUCGAAUCUUUGAACGCACAUUGCGCCCGCCAGUAUUCUGGCGGGCAUGCCUGUCCGAGCGUCAUUUCAACCCUCGAACCCCUCCGGGGGGUCGGCGUUGGGGAUCGGCCCUUUACGGGGCCGGCCCCGAAAUACAGUGGCGGUCUCGCCGCAGCCUCUCCUGCGCAGUAGUUUGCACACUCGCAUCGGGAGCGCGGCGCGUCCAUUGCCGUAAAACACCCAACUUUCUGAAAUGUUGACCUCGGAUCAGGUAGGAAUACCCGCUGAACUUAAGCAUAUCAAUAAAGCGGAGG